UGGCAACAGGAUCUAGGGGUAGGAUGCAUAUGCCCUGCUGAGCAUUGGCCUGUCGCGGACUGGAAACCGGACAUCAGAUUGGGAAAUGGCAGCUUGUUAAGGACUGGCCUAUGGAAAUGAGCCAAAGGGGCCAACUGCAGAGUUGCUGAGCUGUUAUCUGAGGGGGACUUACACAAGGCUGAGCUCCGCUUACCAGCUGAGGAUACAACACAGAGGUACAAGAGGGCUACAUGAGGAGAAUAAUGGGGUUGGGGUGGGGUGGGGG
rnacentral:lncRNA from 1 species